CAACUUUCAGUGAUGGAUAUCUUGGCUCGAGCACCUGUGAAGGGCGCAGCGAAGCGCGAUAGUCUUUGUGAAUUGCAGAACUCCGUGAACCAAUGGCCUCCUGAACGUACGUUGCACUCUCGGGGUUUCCUGAGAGUAUGUCUGCUUCAGUG
rnacentral:rRNA from 1 species